UACGUAGGGUGCUAGCGUUGUCCGGAAUUAUUGGGCGUAAAGAGCUUGUAGGCGGUUUGUCGCGUCUGGUGUGAAAAUCCGGGGCUCAACCCCGGACUUGCAGUGGGUACGGGCAGACUAGAGUGUGGUAGGGGAGACUGGAAUUCCUGGUGUAGCGGUGAAAUGCGCAGAUAUCAGGAGGAACACCGAUGGCGAAGGCAGGUCUCUGGGCCACUACUGACGCUGAGAAGCGAAAGCAUGGGGAGCGAACAGG
rnacentral:rRNA from 1 species